rnacentral:rRNA from 1 species
AGUGAACGCUGGCGGUAGGCCUAACACAUGCAAGUCGAACGGCAGCACAGUAAGAGCUUGCUCUUACGGGUGGCGAGUGGCGGACGGGUGAGGAAUACAUCGGAAUCUACUUUUUCGUGGGGGAUAACGUAGGGAAACUUACGCUAAUACCGCAUACGACCUACGGGUGAAAGCAGGGGUUCUUCGGACCUUGCGCGAUUGAAUGAGCCGAUGUCGGAUUAGCUAGUUGGCGGGGUAAAGGCCCACCAAGGCGACGAUCCGUAGCUGGUCUGAGAGGAUGAUCAGCCACACUGGAACUGAGACACGGUCCAGACUCCUACGGGAGGCAGCAGUAGGGAAUAUUGGACAAUGGGCGCAAGCCUGAUCCAGCCAUACCGCGUGGGUGAAGAAGGCCUUCGGGUUGUAAAGCCCUUUUGUUGGGAAAGAAAAGCAGCAGGUUAAUACCCCGCUGUUCUGACGGUACCCAAAGAAUAAGCACCGGCUAACUUCGUG